UUCUAUCUUUGCAGCGCAGACGCUUAGACGGAUGAUGAAUGUUUUUUUUGGGGAUCUGCAAAGUUGCGAAUGUAAAAUGUUGUACGCAAAUGAAUUUCGCCCAUUCAGGAAGUUUAAAAUCAAGGGUGACUGAUUUGUCUGCACUAUAAUGCACUCAAAGGAAGUUCAAAAUCAAGAGUGACUGAUUUGUCUGCACUGUAAUGCACUCAAAGGAAGUUUAAAAUCAAGGGUGACUGAUUUGUCUGCACUAUAAUGCACUCAAAGGAAGUUCAAAAUCAAGGGUGACUGAUUUGUCUGCACUAUAAUGCACUCAAAGGAAGUUUAAAAUCAAGGGUGACUGAUUUGUCUGCACUAUAAUGCACUCAAAGGAAGUUCAAAAUCAAGGGUGACUGAUUUGUCUGCACUAUAAUGCACUCAAAGGAAGUUUAAAAUCAAGGGUGACUGAUUUGUCUGCACUAUAAUGCACUCAAAGGAAGUUCAAAAUCAAGGGUGACUGAUUUGUCUGCACUAUAAUGCACUCAAAGGAAGUUCAAAAUCAAGGGUGACUGAUUUGUCUGCACUAUAAUGCACUCAAAGGAAGUUCAAAAUCAAGGGUGACUGAUUUGUCUGCACUAUAAUGCACUCAAAGGAAGUUCAAAAUCAAGGGUGACUGAUUUGUCUGCACUAUAAUGCACUCAAAGUAAAUGAGUUGCAGCCAUCAUGAGACACUUCAGUUUAGAGUCAUUUGUUGCUGAACUUUGAACUACUCUUAAUAUGGUGGCUACUCCUGGUGCGUAGGAAUACACAAAUUGCAGAAUCUGCUGUUGAAACUCUUUUAGGAGCAGGUCUCGUCUGCACAGGGACUCCAGGUCAUGCAGAUCAUAAGGAAACACUGCAUCAGGUGGAAUAAUAAGAGCUGAGGCCCCUGCAAUCCGAAGACAGACUCGAGAAUAAUACUGUAGCAUAAGUGCUAAUAACUGUAGAAUAAACUGUAACAUUAACUUGAUCUUGACCCUUAAAGUGUUGUGCCAAAAUUUUAAAAUAAGAAAUAAAUAAGGUUAUCAUGGUA